rnacentral:misc_RNA from 1 species
GGAACACAUAUUAAUAAUUGGAUAGUAAUAGACACAGGAGUAUUUUAAGCAAGCAAAUUAUCAAGCAUAUAAUCUAAAAUAAGGGAAAUAAGCAAACUAAUAGGUGUCCUGCAAAGGAUUCUUCCUUGCUUUCUGCAUAUUUCUAAGUAACAAAACUAAAUGAGAAUUAAAGAUUUUGCAGCCAAACAAGGGAAAACAUAGACCUACAGCAUGAACAUCUUGAGUAUGAAUGACUGCAAAAUUGUCUUACAGAAGUAUAAACAUAUAUAUAAAACUUAUACUGAAUAAUGUAAUUUUAUAUUUGCAGAUAAUCGAAAAAAC